rnacentral:rRNA from 1 species
GAGGGGUAUAGUUCUUCGGAAUUAGAGACCGGCGCACGGGUGCGUAACGCGUAUGCAAUCUACCUUUCACAGAGGGAUAGCCCAGAGAAAUUUGGAUUAAUACCUCAUAGUAUUAUAGGAUGGCAUCAUUUUAUAAUUAAAGUCACAACGGUGAAAGAUGAGCAUGCGUCCCAUUAGCUAGUUGGUAAGGUAACGGCUUACCAAGGCUACGAUGGGUAGGGGUCCUGAGAGGGAGAUCCCCCACACUGGUACUGAGACACGGACCAGACUCCUACGGGAGGCAGCAGUGAGGAAUAUUGGACAAUGGGCGCAAGCCUGAUCCAGCCAUGCCGCGUGCAGGAUGACGGUCCUAUGGAUUGUAAACUGCUUUUAUACGAGAAGAAACACUCCUUCGUGAAGGAGCUUGACGGUAUCGUAAGAAUAAGGAUCGGCUAACUCCGUGCCAGCGGCCGCGGUAAUACGGAGGAUCCAAGCGUUAUCCGGAAUCAUUGGGUUUAAAGGGUCCGUAGGCGGUUUAGUAAGUCAGUGGUGAAAGCCCAUCGCUCAACGGUGGAACGGCCAUUGAUACUGCUAGACUUGAAUUAUUAGGAAGUAACUAGAAUAUGUAGUGUAGCGGUGAAAUGCUUAGAGAUUACAUGGAAUACCAAUUGCGAAGGCAGGUUACUACUAAUAUAUUGACGCUGAUGGACGA